rnacentral:rRNA from 1 species
GACGAACGCUGGCGGCGUGCUUAACACAUGCAAGUCGAACGGAAAGGCCCUGCUUUUGUGGGGUGCUCGAGUGGCGAACGGGUGAGUAACACGUGAGUAACCUGCCCUUGACUUUGGGAUAACUUCAGGAAACUGGGGCUAAUACCGGAUAGGAGCUCCUGCUGCAUGGUGGGGGUUGGAAAGUUUCGGCGGUUGGGGAUGGACUCGCGGCUUAUCAGCUUGUUGGUGGGGUAGUGGCUUACCAAGGCUUUGACGGGUAGCCGGCCUGAGAGGGUGACCGGCCACAUUGGGACUGAGAUACGGCCCAGACUCCUACGGGAGGCAGCAGUGGGGAAUAUUGCACAAUGGGCGGAAGCCUGAUGCAGCAACGCCGCGUGCGUGAUGACGGCCUUCGGGUUGUAAACCGCUUUCGCCUGUGACGAAGCGUGAGUGACGGUAAUGGGUACAGAAGCACCGGCUAACUACGUG